GAAAACACUGCUAGCAUGGGGCCAGCCCUUCCAUUCUUUACUGUAGUGAAGAGAAAGACUGCAGAAAUGGUCCCACCGUCACCGGGGAAAAGAAAGAAUUUAAGGACCCUUUGUGCUCACCAGGUCACACUGCAUGCAUCACUGAGAAGAAGGUGGCUCAGGAGAAAGCAAAUUCCUUCAGUGGCUGACAGUGGACAGAAAGGUGAUACUGCAAUUUGCUCUUAUGUAGGAGCGUGGGUAGAUAAUGCCAUGUGGGUGACUAACUGCAGAGCAGAGUCCUUGGGCUUGUAACUUCUGGUCAAGAUACUGUUUCUUUUUGGCCCUGAAACUUCUGUGCAUGAGAAAUGGCUUUCCUUAACAGCUUUCCUAAAGUAAGAUAAUCUAUCAGUGUCCUAUAUUGCAGAGAAAGAAGAGAAAGACUGAAUCGUCACUAUGACUGGAGUGGAACAAGACUGGCUAGCCAUAAAUGCCUACUUACCUGAUUAUCUCUGUCUUCAUUGGUGUUAGUUCAUACAUUUGUUCAAAAUGGAAAGUUCCUAAAGCCACUGCAAUUGAAUGGUGUGGGGCAGAAAAGGAAGAACUUCCAUUAAACUCGUGAAGUUCUGUAC